rnacentral:tRNA from 1 species
GAUCAGGUUGCCGAGUGGUUAAGGCUAUGGACUGCUAAUCCAUUGGGGUUUCCCCGCGUGAGUUCGAAUCUCAUCUUGAUCG